rnacentral:rRNA from 1 species
UUCGGGGUACACGAGCGGCGAACGGGUGAGUAACACGUGGGUGAUCUGCCCUGCACUUCGGGAUAAGCCUGGGAAACUGGGUCUAAUACCGGAUAUGACCUCCUAUCGCAUGGUGGGUGGUGGAAAGAUUUAUCGGUGCAGGAUGGGCCCGCGGCCUAUCAGCUUGUUGGUGGGGUAAUGGCCUACCAAGGCGACGACGGGUAGCCGACCUGAGAGGGUGACCGGCCACACUGGGACUGAGACACGGCCCAGACUCCUACGGGAGGCAGCAGUGGGGAAUAUUGCACAAUGGGCGAAAGCCUGAUGCAGCGACGCCGCGUGAGGGAUGACGGCCUUCGGGUUGUAAACCUCUUUCAGCAGGGACGAAGCGCAAGUGACGGUACCUGCAGAAGAAGCACCGGCUAACUACGUGCCAGCAGCCGCGGUAAUACGUAGGGUGCAAGCGUUGUCCGGAAUUACUGGGCGUAAAGAGUUCGUAGGCGGUUUGUCGCGUCGUUUGUGAAAACCAGCAGCUCAACUGCUGGCUUGCAGGCGAUACGGGCAGACUUGAGUACUGCAGGGGAGACUGGAAUUCCUGGUGUAGCGGUGAAAUGCGCAGAUAUCAGGAGGAACACCGGUGGCGAAGGCGGGUCUCUGGGCAGUAACUGACGCUGAGGAACGAAAGCGUGGGUAGCGAACAGGAUUAGAUACCCUGGUAGUCCACGCCGUAAACGGUGGGCGCUAGGUGUGGGUUCCUUCCACGGAAUCCGUGCCGUAGCUAGCGCAUUAAGCGCCCCGCCUGGGGAGUACGGCCGCAAGGCUAAAACUCAAAGGAAUUGACGG